GACGAACGCUGGCGGCGCGCUUAACACAUGCAAGUCGAGCGAUAACCAUGGCUUCGGCCAUGGGGAGAGCGGCGAACGGGUGAGUAACACGUGAGUGAUCUGCCCUCGACACCGGGAUAGCUCGGGGAAACCCGGAUUAAUACCGGAUGGCCUUUCGAGCCCAUUGGCCCGUCAGAAAAGAUGGCUUCGGCUUUCGGUCGCGGAGGAGCUUGCGGCGGAUUAGCCUGUUGGUGGGGUAACGGCUCACCAAGGCGACGAUCCGUAGCUGGUCUGAGAGGACGAGCAGCCACACUGGGACUGAGACACGGCCCAGACUCCUACGGGAGGCAGCAGUGGGGAAUCUUGCGCAAUGGGCGAAAGCCUGACGCAGCGACGCCGCGUGAGGGAAGAAGGCCUUCGGGUUGUAAACCUCUUUCAGGAGGGACGAAGCCACUCGGGUUAAUAGCCCAGAGGGUGACGGUACCUCCAGAAGAAGCCCCGGCUAACUACGUUCCAGCCGCCGCAGUAAAAC
rnacentral:rRNA from 1 species